AACGCUGGCGGUAGGCCUAACACAUGCAAGUCGAACGGCAGCACAGUAAGAGCUUGCUCUUACGGGUGGCGAGUGGCGGACGGGUGAGGAAUACAUCGGAAUCUACUUUUUCGUGGGGGAUAACGUAGGGAAACUUACGCUAAUACCGCAUACGACCUACGGGUGAAAGCAGGGGAUCUUCGGACCUUGCGCGAUUGAAUGAGCCGAUGUCGGAUUAGCUAGUUGGCGGGGUAAAGGCCCACCAAGGCGACGAUCCGUAGCUGGUCUGAGAGGAUGAUCAGCCACACUGGAACUGAGACACGGUCCAGACUCCUACGGGAGGCAGCAGUGGGGAAUAUUGGACAAUGGGCGCAAGCCUGAUCCAGCCAUACCGCGUGGGUGAAGAAGGCCUUCGGGUUGUAAAGCCCUUUUGUUGGGAAAGAAAAGCAGCAGGUUAAUACCCCGCUGUUCUGACGGUACCCAAAGAAUAAGCACCGGCUAACUUCGUGC
rnacentral:rRNA from 1 species